rnacentral:rRNA from 1 species
UACGUAGGAGGCAAGCGUUGUCCGGAGUUACUGGGCGUAAAGCGCACGCAGGCGGUCGCAUUAGUCUGGGGUGACAGUUCCCGGCUUAACCGGAAAAGGACUCUGGAAACUGUGCGACUUGAGGGCUUCAGAGGGAUGUGGAAUUCCAGGUGGAGUGGUGAAAUGCGUAGAUAUAGGGAAGAACACCAAUAAGGCGAAGGCAGUUAACUAUUCUAUUCCUGACAUUGAGGCAUGAAAGCGUGGGGAGCAAAACGG